CCUACGGGAGGCAGCAGUGGGGAAUAUUGCACAAUGGGGGAAACCCUGAUGCAGCAACGCCGCGUGAGGGAAGGAGUAUUUCGGUAUGUAAAGCUCUAUCAGUAGGGAAGAAGAAAGACGGUACCUGACUAAGAAGCCCCGGCUAACUACGUGCCAGCAGCCGCGGUAAUACGGAGGGGGCAAGCGUUAUCCGGAUUUACUGGGUGUAAAGGGGGCGUAGACGGCUGUGCAAGUCUGAUGUGAAAGCCCGUGGCUCAACCGCGGAACUGCUUUUGAAACUGGAUGACUUGAGUUCUGAAGAGGCAGGCGGAAUUCCUAGUGUAGCGGUGAAAUGCGUAGAUAUCAUGAGGAACACCAGUCGCGAAGGCGACCUGCUGGAGAGAAACUGACGUUGAGGCUCGAAAGCGUGGGGAGCAAACAGGAUUAGAUACCCCAGUAGUC
rnacentral:rRNA from 1 species